GCACAGUGGUUAAGAGCUACAGCUGCUAACCAAAAGGUCGGCAGUUCGAAUCCUCCAACUGCUCCUUGGAAACCCUGUUGGGCAGUUCCACUCUGUCCUGUGGGGUUGCUAUGAGUUGGCAUUGACUGGACAGCAAUGGGUUUGUUUUUUUGGUUUAGUUAUAGGCAGAUUACACUAAGUUAUAUAUGCUUCCUAUUUCCCUAGAUUUAUUUUUAAAAUACAUUUUAUUUUUUAGAGCAGGUUUAGGUUUAUAGAAAAAUUAUGCUGAAAGUAUAGAGAGUUUCCAUGUACCUGCUCUCCCCCCUCCACACAGUUUCUCCUGUUAUUAACACCUUGCAUUAGUGUGGUACAUUGGUUACAACUGAUGAACCAAGAUUGAUGUGUUAUUAUUAACUAAAGCCCUUAGUUUACAUUAGAGUUUGCUCUUCAUAUUAUACAGUUCUAUGGGUUUUGACAAAUGCAUAAUGUCAUCUAUCCGCCAUUACAGUAUCAUGCAGAAUAGUUUCAGAGGGGGAAGAAUCAAUAAAUAUUUUAAACAUGUUAUUCAUUGUAUAUUUAGUUUUUCACAAGAAGGAAACCAUUUAAUGGAAUCUGCUUUGGAAAGAUGAAUAUAUGCCGUAAGCCACGCAAGAGUGGAUCUCGAUCAAGAUACAAUAAAUCCAAUGUUGUUCUGAGUGAUUAAGUUCUUUAGAAAAUCCAUCGACUUUUCAAAGGGUGCGUGGAUUAGAAAAUACGGACAAUUUUCAAAACACUAGCCUUGCAUUUUAAUGCCCCGGUGUCGUGGGAGUGAACAGUAAACCACUGUUGAUGCACACUGGGCCACACAUCUCAUAUGAAGUACAUCGACCUGAUGGUGUGUGGAGACUACAGCUCCUCUUGUUCCCUCCAUCUCUGCCCUACCAAAGGGCUAGCAAUGGACCAUUAUCUCAGAUUCUGACAUCUGAAGAGAGAUUCUGAAUGCCAGGAAGGAAGUUUUCCAAAUCAGUAUAAAACAAAAUCCUCUUAUUACAACAGGAUACAGUAGAGAAAACAAAAGAGGAAGCUCACGAGAGAGAAAAGGUUUAAAAGCAGAAACGAAAGAUACUUCUGAGAAAAACAAGAUACUCCUAAAGUGGUAAAGUUCCUUGUGUUUCCUGGGAAAAACAUCACUGCUGGAGAGACUAGACUAUGGGAGACCAUGGGAUUGACGCAUGUGUUGCUGAAAAAAUUGCUCACCAAUAUCUAUGUCACAAGACUUUAAGAUCUACCCACCUGCUGAGAAAUUGUAUCAAGAAAUUUUUAUAUAGCCUUCAUAUAAUUCCUGCACAAACAACCUGAUGAGCUGGACAAUGAAUAAGGAAGACCGAAGAAGAGUUGACGCCUUUGAAUUGUGGUGUUGGCGAAGAAUGUUGAAUAUCCCAUGGACUGCCAGAAGAACAAACAAAUUCGUCUUGGAAGAAGUACAGCCAGAUGCUCCUUAAAAGCAAAGAUGGCGAGAUUUCGCCUCACAUACUUUGGACGUGUUAUCAGGAGAGACCAGUCCCCAGUGAAGGACAUCAUGCUUGGUAAAAUAGAGGGUCAGUGAAAAAGAGGAAGACCCUUAAUGAAACAGAUUAACACAGCAGCUGCAACAAUGGGCUCAAGCAUAACAACGAUUGCGAGGAUGGUGCAGGACUGGGCAAUGUUUUGUUCUGUUGCACACAGGGUCACUAUGAGACGGAACUGACUUGACAGCACCUAACAACAAGAACAACAACAGGGUGCUUGUGAUUUGCAACCACCAAAUCCAAAGGCCUUUCCGGGGUUGUCUCUCUCCUUGACCUGUCUGCAGCGUUUAGCACUGAGGACCAUCCACUUCUUGGAGCACUGCAUGUACACACUAGUAACUCAAAAUAUGUAUUAAGUGAUAAAUGAAAUAUUCAGACAUUCUUUGAAUUCUUAAGUAUGAUAUGUAUGUGGCUGAAGACCAGGAAAAGUUUUUACAUAUAAACAUGCUACUGUACUUUUAAAUGAAUUUAUAAGGAAAUGACUUAAAGGAAACUGCCCAACAUUGUAGCAAUAGCCAUCUUUUGCAGAGUAAGGAAUAAAUUCAAUUGUUUUUAAAAAGAAUGAUAUAUUUUUAAGGUAAAUAUCUUAAAAAUGUGUAGGCAUAUCAUAUACAAAAUACAACUCAAAAUGGUUUGCUGACCUAAAUGUAAGAGCAAAAACUAUAAAAGUCUUCAAAGAAAAUUUUUGUGAUCAUGUUGAAUUUGACAAUGAUUUCUUCGAUAUGACAGCAAAGACAAAAACAACAACAGAAAAAAUUAAAUAAAACUGUUAAAAAGGAAAAAAAGAAUGCAUACACAUUAGCUCUCUGAAAUAGAGUCCCUGAGUGGCACGAAUGGUUAACUGCCUGGCUAAGAACUGAAAGGUUGGGGUUCUAAUCUCCCCAGAGGUGCCUUGGGAGAAAGUCCUGGCAACCUGCUUCUGAAAGAUCACAGCCAUGAAAACCCUACGGAGCACAGUUCUACUGAACACACAUGGGGUCACCAUGAGUCAGAAUUGACUCCAUGGAAACUGGUUUGGUUUAUAAGCUACUGUUUAUUUGAUCAUUCAUUCAUUCAUGCAUUCAUUCACCAAAACUUCAUUGAACAUAUUUUGAAUUGUGCCAAGUGCUGGGCAUAACAGGAUUCUGAAAAGAGCAUCUGGCUUCAGCAUGAAGAUCAGAUUGGCAGGGCAUCAAGCUGUACGGGAUAUAGGGCAGUUUACAAAAUUGGGAGUUAGCCAAUUGUCUCUUUGCUUCUUAGUCAAACGUCAUUUCUUUACAUUCUUUUCACCAUAAAGAAAGGAAACAAGUCCGGCUUCAGCUCUUUCAUGAUCCAAAGAAAGCCCCAAGGUUUCUUAGGGGCUUCAAAAAAGAGCUUUAUAAUCGUAAAAACUAAUGACUUUAGUAUUAAGUUUACUUUUGCAAUCUAAUAAAAAGCAUGCUAUAUGCCCAUCUUUGCCAAGAGCCUGAGAUAGAAAUAAAGCUAGAAGCACUGCAAGUCGUCUGGGAAGAUGGCACCUUCAUUCCUCACACACCUUUGACAAAAACUACUAUAUAAAGAUUGACUAAGGACCUGAGGUCAGCCUGGUUUGACGAGUGUGACAUGUGGGAAUACCACAUGCCCCAAUACCCCAUGCUUCUUGUCCCCUUCAGCUGUAUUUGCCCCAGAUACGCUUAGAGGGUUUUAAGAGGACUGUGGAGCAGGAUAGUUCAAGGUCUGAACCCGGUGUCUUCAGGGAGCAGGGGAGCUUAGCUGGUGUAACAGGACUUCCCUGGAUGGUGGCGUUAGUGAAGAGUAUUGAAUACAGCAUACCGUGGACAGCCAGAACGAAUCAGUCUGUCUUGGAAGAAGUACAGCUGAAUGCUCCUUAGAAGCAAAGAUGGAGAGACUGUUUCGCUUACUUUGGACAUGUCAUCAGUCUACCAAUUGCUGGAAAAGGACAUCAUGCUUGGUAAAGCAGAGGGUCAGAGAAAAAGAGGGAGACCUUCAAUGAGGUGAACUGAUACAAUGGGUGCAACAAUGGGCUCAAACAUACCUACUAUUGUGAGGAUGGCACAGGACCCGGUAACAUUUCAUUUUGUUAGAUAUAGAGUCACUAUGUGUCUGAACUGCCUCGAGGGUACUUAAGAACAGCAGAUGGUAGGGUGGAGACUAGGUUUGGAGGUCCUUGCUGGAAAUAGAACUGGAAACUGUCCCAGAAGCCAGAGUAAUGGCUGCAAGGCCCUCGCAACCAAGAAAGAGACCGAGUUCAGGGCAACUCUAGCAAAGGGGCAGAGUUUCAGUGCUAAGAGGCCUCACUCACUCUGGUUCCAUCUGCCCUCGCUGUGGCUUAUCCUUUGAAAAAUGUCCCAGGCAGUGUUGAAGCUUGGCUUCCCUCUAAGACCCGGAUAGAGUGUGUUGUCAAAGGGGUGGUCUGCCCUCCAAAUGGCUCGUCUGCACCCCAGGCCUCGGCCCUGCCCCAGGCUGCUAUGAACCAGCGGCAGAGCCAUUUGCCCCACGAAUAAAGCAACAGAGCUGAGCUGCAGGUGAGGAACAGGCUCAGACCUGGGCAAUGGGAAAAAAGCCGCCCACUCUCUGUGUUUGCUCAAUCUUUGGGGUGAUUGGGGGGAUGGUGGUUAGUCUGUGCUACUUCUCAACAGAUCUCACCUGGAUAACGCUCCAACUCACCUAACUUGGACAGAACCCUUUGUUUCAUUUUUAAGUAUUAUAGCCAUACCUUUGCUUGCUAUUUUAAAUGGAUGUUACCUUUUUGUUUUGUUUUAAAAAAGAAUUUACUCUAAAUAUCUACAAUAAAGACCAUACACACUUCUAUUUUUUAAAAAAAUCAUUCCUCCAAAAUAUCUUUCCAUCGAAAGGGCGCCAAAAUCUAUA